UACAGAGGGGGCGAGCGUUGUUCGGAAUUACUGGGCGUAAGGGCGCGUAGGCGGCCCGCUAAGUCGAACGUGAAAUCCCCAGGCUCAACCUGGGAACUGCGUCCGAUACUGGCAGGCUUGAAUCCGGGAGAGGGAUGUGGAAUUCCAGGUGUAGCGGUGAAAUGCGUAGAUAUCUGGAGGAACACCGGUGGCGAAGGCGGCAUCCUGGACCGGUAUUGACGCUGAGGCGCGAAAGCUAGGGGAGCAAACGGG
rnacentral:rRNA from 1 species